rnacentral:rRNA from 1 species
CCUACGGGUGGCUGCAGUGGGGAAUAUUGGACAAUGGGCGAAAGCCUGAUCCAGCCAUGCCGCGUGUGUGAAGAAGGCCUUCGGGUUGUAAAGCACUUUCAGUGGGGAAGAAAGCCUUGGGGCUAAUACCCUCGAGGAAGGACAUCACCCACAGAAGAAGCACCGGCUAACUCCGUGCCAGCAGCCGCGGUAAUACGGAGGGUGCGAGCGUUAAUCGGAAUUACUGGGCGUAAAGCGCGCGUAGGCGGUCUGAUAAGCCGGUUGUGAAAGCCCCGGGCUCAACCUGGGAACGGCAUCCGGAACUGUCAGGCUAGAGUGCAGGAGAGGAAGGUAGAAUUCCCGGUGUAGCGGUGAAAUGCGUAGAGAUCGGGAGGAAUACCAGUGGCGAAGGCGGCCUUCUGGACUGACACUGACGCUGAGGUGCGAAAGCGUGGGUAGCAAACAGGAUUAGAUACCCUGGUAAGUC